rnacentral:SRP_RNA from 1 species
GCCCAGGUGCCAUGCAGAGCGCAGCUUGCAAACCCAGCCAGAUCAGGAAUGAAGCAACUGUAGUAAGAUUGCUCUCGUGCCGUGGAAUACCUGGGCUUU